UUGAAAGAAAAGCAAAUCCAUCAAGAGGGGUCCCCUUAGACAAGGUGAGAUGCAAUUCACAUUUCCCACCUCUCUCCACUCCCACAGCCAACACAAAAAGGACUUUCAGCCAAUAUGUCGCUCUGACACGCGAAUCCACGCUCUACAGAUUUGGCCUCUGGAGUAUGGGAUGCUGGCCCCACGCUAUCCUGGCGAUUGAUUCACGAACGAUUAAACCUGAUGACUGCUCAAGGCUGAUAAUUUGACUGCUAUAGAGACUGGGCAGUUGAGUGCUUUGUCAGAAACUGCCCCCCCCCCCCGGGGUAGUUGGCUACGAGAGACUGCGAAGUUGACUCAGGAGCCCCACGGUGGGAAAAAUUAAGCUGUACACCCAUGUGAUAAUAACAGCAAUAGAAAGAGAGGCAGAGCCUCCACCCACACACCGAGUCAGAAAUACCUCAGCACUCAAGGAAACUCCCAUUUUUUCUAUCUUGACUCCUGACUCCAAGAGGGAGUGGCAAGUGUGAUUACAAGCCUUGAACCUGUGGUGUGUGGGCACCAGUCAAAGUGAAUUAAACCUAAAGAAAACAGCAGCCGGCAGUGGAGAUAAAGCCAUGUCUUCAGGAAUCCAGAUGUUCCUUGACCUUCUGGAAGGAGUAGCACCACAGAACCUGCAUUCUUGAGGAUUCUAGUUUUCAUGUUUAUUGUUAUAACAUUUGUGAUGGUAUGUACAAAACUCAAACAAAAUUAAACCAGAAAAAAAAAAGCCCUAGCAUGGAGAGGUAAAGUGGGCAUGGAUUUGGCCCCUACUUUAGGAGGUAGUAGCAAUCGGGGGACUUGUAUUUUAAGC